UACGAAGGGGGCUAGCGUUGUUCGGAAUUACUGGGCGUAAAGGGCGCGCAGGCGGCCCUCCAAGUCAGGCGUGAAAGCCCCGGGCUCAACCCGGGAACAGCGCUUGAGACUGGGGGGCUUGAGUUCGGGAGAGGAGAGUGGAAUUCCCAGUGUAGAGGUGAAAUUCGUAGAUAUUGGGAAGAACACCGGUGGCGAAGGCGGCUCACUGGCCCGAGUACUGACGCUGAGGCACG
rnacentral:rRNA from 1 species